AUUCACGACACCCAAAUAUCCUAUCAAUUAUAUCACAAAAUAAUUUUAGGAAUCAAAGUAUCAAAAUUCAGACUCGCAAACGCAUUUCAGAUUACAAGAUCCUGAAAAUCCAUGCAGUGAAGGAGAGCCGAAAAUCUAGGAUUUCAAUUCAUACCCGAAACCAAAAUGUUUCUUCGCGCGAGUUGCAUUCGGAUUUCUCGUGUGUAGGGUUUUAGCGCGCUCGCAAGCAGGAAACCACCGAACAGAGCGCCCAUCAGCUCCCACCGGAAAAUGUGAAACGUAUAUACGCCUCUGCCCCCUUUCUCCUCAUUCAAUCCUCCCAUCCGUUCGAUCAUUUCCCAAAACAUCGUCGCGCGAAGAAAAGGAGAAGAUUCACCACAUACCCCGACGACCUUCCAUCCCAUCAUCUCUACGAGACCGUUCGAUGUUCUUCAACCUUGGACGCAGUCGAAUCCCUCCCAAGAUAGCCACCUUUCGUUCCGCCGCGAAUGGGCAGAUUCAGUCGCCUAGGGUUUACCCCAAAUUCGCUGUUGCAGAUCCGUCGCCAUUUCCUUUCCUUCUCUGAAUUCCGCCUCGAACAAUGCAGGAAUGGGCAGGUCAUGUCCUUGCUGCGGUCGAUGUCACAUAGACCAAUAUUGCACAGCUACAAUGUCGAUUUUAUCGGAAGACCUUCCAUUUUUCCUUCAACCAGGCGGUGUGUUCAUGCUACAGGAUUUCGCUAUGCUACGGAACGGGACUUGUAUGAAGUUCUCGGUGUACCAAAAGAUGCUAACCGCGAUGAUAUCAAGAAAGCUUUUCAUGCACUUGCAAAGAAGUACCAUCCAGAUGCAAAUAAGAAUAAUCCUGCAGCGAAGAGGAAGUUUCAAGAGAUAAGAGAUGCGUAUGAGACAUUACGUGAUCCCGAAAAGAGAGCACAAUAUGAUAGGGAGUGCUCAAGAGGUGCUGAAAAACAAGAAUAUGCUGCGAAUGAUGCAGAGGGGUUUAAGGAGGCUUAUCAAGACGAUUUCUCUGAUUCAUUCCAUAGAAUUUUCUCUCAGAUCUUUGAACAUGAGAGUGUAACCUCUGCAACUGAUAUACAGGUGGAACUAUCACUCUCUUUUUCUGAAGCUGCAAAAGGAUGCACAAAACAUCUCUCUUUUGAUGCACAUGUUCCCUGCGAUUCUUGUUAUGGAAGAGGCCAUCCAUUUAGUGCCAAGCCAAAAAUAUGUCCAACUUGUAAAGGCAUUGGUAGAGUUACACUUCCUCCAUUCACAUCAACCUGCAGUACUUGUAAAGGAUCAGGCCGAAUUAUUAAGGAAUAUUGUUUAGCAUGCAAAGGAUCUGGGGUGGUUGAAGGUGUCAAGGAGGUUAAUGUUACCAUCCCAGCAGGUGUAGCUUCUGGAGAUACAAUUCGUGUCCCGAAAGCUGGAAAUAGUGGGGGGCGAAGUGUUCAUUCUGGAAAUCUGCAUAUAAAGCUGAAUGUUGCCAAAGAUCCUGUAUUCAUUAGGGAUGGAGCUGAUGUCUAUGUGGAUUCCCCUAUUAGCUUUACACAAGCUCUUCUUGGUGGUAAAGUUGAAGUACCGACCUUGUCCGGAAAGACGCAAAUAAAAAUACCAAAGGGAGUUCAGCACAGACAACAACUGGUACUAAGAGGAAGAGGCCUGCCGAAGCAUAUAGGCCUUAUGGACCAUGGUGAUCAAUAUGUGCGAUUCCGCAUCCACUUCCCCACAUCCGUAAAUGAACGUCAACGGGCUCUGCUAGAAGAAUUUGCUAAGGAAGAAUUUAUUGUUGAAAAUAGCACAUCUGCAGAAGGAAAGUGGUGGCAGCAAAUAAUUGAUCGCUUGACGGACCAGAAGUUUGUGCUUGAAGUCACUUUCUUUAUAUUGAUGCUCCUGUUGCUGAACAGAGGUAUUGGCUAAGAGUCAACAUCUUGGUGACAUGAUGGAUGUAUCUGCUCCAAAUCCCAGCAGAUCGGAAGAGCUGUCACCCACCUUCUUUCCCCCCUUGAAACGAUGUCCACCUUGAGGUGGGCUUUGCAUCAUAUUACUGCAAAGAUGAAUGCUAAUUCCAGACACCUCUUCUUCAAGCGCUGAACAUAAAUGCAUCAGAGGGCACAUGUGUGCAUGGUCUGGGACAAUCAUAGGGUGGUCCCUCCCACCACGUAAGUGUUCUAUACCAAAGAUUGGGACAUCCAACUCAUCACGAGCACAUUGAUGUAGCAUGUUGGUUUUGAUUCUUCUAUCCAUUUCGUAGUACGUAUCCUACCUGAUAAAUAGACCAGCCGGUUUUUUGGGUCAA